CCGAGUGAGGGUCGCUCCGGCGCCCGACCUCCCAACCCUUUGUCUGACCAACCUCUGUUGCCUCGGGGGCGACCCGGCUCUUUUCUCAGAACGGGCGUCGGGGCCCCCGGUGGACCACACAACCAAACUCUGCAUCCGUGCGUCUGAGUAUAACACGAAAUAAAUCA
rnacentral:misc_RNA from 1 species